GGAGGUAUAGCUCAGUGGUAGAGUGUGUGCCUAUCAUGCAUGAGGUCCUGAAUUCAAUCCCCAGUACCUCCA